GCUGUGGCUGGAGAUAUGUGUGCUGACACGCCAGGACACUCAGCAAAAUUUGGCAGCUACACCAUUAUGCACAUGGAAACCAACAAAAUUCUGGAUCUUCAACUAGUUCAGAGCAACGAGGUUGGUGGAAGUUAUCAUAUGGAAAAGGAGGGAUUGAAGCGUUGUCUCGAUAAGCUCGAGUCUAAUGGUUUAGCUGUUGACUACAUCGUCACCGAUCACCAUCCGCAGAUUCAGAAGUACC